UAGGUCACCCCAGAACUUGGCGGGUGUCUGUAUAGCUUGCUUUGAUGGCGAUCUAUGUACUCAGUUUUGGUGGGAAUACAUUUUCUGAACAUCACGCGCCAAUGUAAAAUGCUGUUUUUUUAUAUAAAUAUGAACUUUAUCGAACAAAACAUACAUGUAUUGUGUAACAUGAUGUCCUAGGAGUGUCAUCUGAUGAAGAUCGUCAAAGUUUAGUGCUUCAUUUAGCUGUGUUUUGGGUUUUUGUGACAUAUAUCCUUGCUUGGAAAAUGGCUGUGUGGUUAUUUUUGUCUAUGUACUCUCCUAACAUAAUCUAAUGUUUUGCUUUCACUGUAAAGCCUUUUUGAAAUCGGACAAUGUGGUUACAUUAAGGAGAAGUGUAUCUUUAAAAUGGUGUAAAAUAGUCGUAUGUUUGAGAAAUUGAAAUUAUGAUAUUUUUGCUGUUUUGUAUUAAGCGCCAUGCUAUUUCACUGGCUGUUGAAUAGUGUGGGACGAUCACGUCCCACCUAGCCCAAAGAAGUUAAUGCUCUUUUUCUGAGCAGAAAUGGCCUCAGGAUAACCCCCAUGAUGUGUCAUGCUGUCAAAUUAUGUUAAGGAGCCCGUCUUGUUGAUCCUUGGUUUUGACAGGGGUCUCAGCACGGGACAUUUCCCUGUGUACCAGCCUGUACCAUGACUACAAGGUGCUGCUUCAGAUGGGCCUUCACUUCCUCUUCCUCCAGGGCACCAAAGGCAGGAGGCUACCUCCUCCACCUUCUCAGAACCCCAGGCUACCUCCUCCACCUCCUCAGAACCCCAGGCUACCUCCUCCACCUCCUCAGAACCCCAGGCUACCUCCUCCACCUCCUCAGAACCCCAGGCUACCUCCUCCACCUCCUCAGAACCCCAGGCUACCUCCUCCACCUCCUCAGAACCCCAGGCUACCUCCUCCACCUCCUCAGAACCCCAGGCUACCUCCUCCACCUCCUCAGAACCCCAGGCUCAGAGCUCCAUCUGUCAGGCUGCCGCUCUAAGCGAGCCCCCUACCUCAUUGUCGGGGCCGUCGGGCCUUGUGUCUGUACUGGUGUCCAGCCUGCGUCAACGCCACGCCGUUACAGCCCACGUGUGCUCGCUGGAUGGCGCCGACUUUGUGGUCAGUAA
rnacentral:lncRNA from 1 species